GCCAUGCUGGCUCUGUCGGAAGAGCAUGUGACUCUUGAUCUCAGGGUUAUGAGUUCAAGCCCCAUGCUGGGUG
rnacentral:tRNA from 1 species